UACAGAGGUCCCAAGCGUUACUGAGAAUCACUGGGUUUAAAGGGUGCGUAGGUGGCACGUUAAGUCAGUUGUGAAAUCCCCCGGGCUCAACCCGGGAACUGCUUCUGAUACUGGCGUGCUUGAGGCCAGUAGGGGUCACUAGAACUGACGGUGGAGCGGUGAAAUGCGUAGAUAUCGUCAGGAAUGCCGGUGGUGAAGACGGGUGACUGGGCUGGUUCUGACACUGAGGCACGAAAGCGUGGGGAGCGAACGGGG
rnacentral:rRNA from 1 species